rnacentral:rRNA from 1 species
AUGGCCCGGCGCCCGUGCUUCUGCUACUUCGUUGCCCACAACCGCCGGCCUCCCGCGCCCAUCUCCUUGCUCAGACCGCCCCUCGCCGCGGCUGCACCCUGCAGGAGCUCCCGCUGGAACCCACUAUCUUCUGCCAAAGCUCCUCUGCUCCGCCCGUCCUUUGUCCCGCCUCCACCAGCGGACCGCCCCGACCUCGUCGUCAUCCAUGUGACCAAGCCCAGGCCGCACCCCGCCUUCCACUGCCUCGCCAGUGACCUCCUCCGUACUGGAUCCAGCCUCAACGACCCAUCCCCGACCUCCAUGUUCGACUCCUCGCCGGAUCCAGAGGUCCUCGUCGUGCCCCUGCCUCGCUGCGUUCUGCACCGGAGUUCCCCUACCGACGCCUUUGUUCAGUCACCUCGCAAAGGGAGCGACCAGCAGCACAAGCCGCAUGGAGCCACAACCAAAACCUGCCUUGUUGACCAAGGCCCUAGUCAAGCCGUCAAGACCGGCAAGACCGACUACAUGAAACUUCCAAGUACCUCUACACACAAAUGCGUCGAGACCGCCCCGGAUAUCGACAAGUACACCACCAGCAAGACCACAUAG